AGCUCCGCGGGUGCAGGGGCCAUUCAGGCCUGAAGGCACUCUCCCCCCCCGACUCCUCAACAAUACCUCCCUGUCAUUUCCUCCUCACACACAUUGGACUUUCCCCUCUCCUCUGCAAGGAGGGGCGACGUGAAGGCGGUAGGCAGGUUCCCGCGGAAACUACCUCCGGCUGGCCUCUAUCAAAGAAGGCCCCGCCAGGCAGGCGAGCCCUGCCGGCUUGCCUCACUAGAGGCUCGUAUCGCAAAAGCUGCCCUCCUAUUUUUUCCUCCCUGCCUCACCGGCUGCGGCCGCCUCCAGUGUCCGCCACGCGCUGCCUCUUCGUCCUCACCGUGUCUGCUCCGGUCCGCUCCGUAGGCCAAGCAGGGAGGCGGGCGGGAGCUGAGAGCAGGCGCUCCUCGGAAUGGAAAAGGAGGAACAAGCACCAGCGAGGAGCCGGCAAGGGAGGAAGCGGGGAGAGAAACCACUAGUCAACCAGCCGGUCCCGCCUCGUACUCCCUUCCCGGAUGGAGGAAGGCCGAGCCCGUGACUCAGGCAGGCCAAUCCCGAAGCCAAGAUGAGGAGAGCCGACUCUCCUCUGACAGGCGCCCUCAGAAGACAGCCUCCUCGUCACUGCACGCGUUCCCAGCAGGGUUGAGCUCUGAAAAUGCAAGUCUUGCAAGUUUAUAGCAGCUGGUAACUGGCAGGCAUCCACGGUGCUAGCAAGAAACCUCCCUGCCUCCUGUUCUUCAAACAUUUUCACUUAAACCAUUUUUGGAUGUUUUUUUUAAUCAAUAAGGACAAAUUAACGUACAUGCAGCAAGUAGAAAAAUAAAGGUGGACAAAACUGAA